GCCCUCGUAGCUCAGCCGGAUAGAGCAGCGGCUUCCUAAGCCGAAGGUCGCACGUUCGAAUCGUGCCGGGGGCG
rnacentral:tRNA from 1 species